GUUGGUUUAGUGUUUAUAGGUAGCAUUCCAAUUUUUCGUGUUGGAGGGGGCCGUUAGGCCAGCCAGUGAUUA
rnacentral:tRNA from 1 species